rnacentral:snRNA from 1 species
GUGCUCACUUCAGCAGCACAUAUAUGAAAAAUUGGAACGAUACAGAGAAGAUUAGCAUGGCCCCUGUGCAAGGAUGACAUGCAAAUUCGUGAAGCGUUCCAUGUUUCU